GACGAACGUUGGCGGUGCGCUUAAUGCAUGCAAGUCGAGCGAGAAGCAGUCGUUCCGUAAGGUUCGACUGUGGACAGCGGCGAACGGGUGCGUAACACGUGAGAAACCUGCCCCCCAGACCGGGAUAGCCCAGGGAAACCUGGAUUAAUACCGGAUACUCUCCUCGGACCGCAUGGUCUGUUGAGGAAACAGUCCGCUGCUGGGGGAUGGUCUCGCGGCCUAUCAGGUAGUUGGUGAGGUAACGGCUCACCAAGCCGAAGACGGGUAGCUGGUCUGAGAGGACGAUCAGCCACACUGGAACUGAGACACGGUCCAGACUCCUACGGGAGGCAGCAGCAGGGAAUAUUGCACAAUGGGCGAAAGCCUGAUGCAGCGACACCGCGUGCGGGAUGAAGGCCUUCGGGUUGUAAACCGCUUUCAGGAGGGAAGAAACUGACGGUACCUCCAGAAGAAGCUCCGGCCAACUACGUGCCAGCAGCCGCGGUAAUACGUAGGGAGCAAACGUUGUCCGGAUUUAUUGGGCGUAAAGGGCUCGUAGGCGGUUCAACAAGUCGGUCGUGAAAGCCCGGGGCUCAACCCCGGGAGGCCGGUCGAAACUGUUGUGACUAGAGUUCGGUAGAGGUGAGUGGAAUUCCCGGUGUAGCGGUGGAAUGCGCAGAUAUCGGGAGGAACACCAUUAUCU
rnacentral:rRNA from 1 species